UUGGAAGUAAAAGUCGUAACAAGGUUUCCGUAGGUGAACCUGCGGAAGGAUCAUUAACGCGCAAGAGGUCGAAGUUGGCCCCCGAAGCUCUUCCGUCUCCCCCCCGGGCCUCCCGGGGAGGUUGCGGGCGGCGAGGGGUGCCUCCGGCCGCACGCCCAUUCUUGUCUACUGACCCGGUUGCCUCGGCGGGCCGCGCCUGCUGUGCUACAGCGGCCGUUCGGGGGGGACGCCUGAGGGGGACUUUUGUUUCCUAGGCCACGCCCCGGGCAGCGCUCGCCGGAGGAUUACUCUGGAAAACACACUCUUGAAAGAACAUACCGUCUGAGCGAGCAACGCAAAUCAGUUAAAACUUUCAACAACGGAUCUCUUGGUUCCGGCAUCGAUGAAGAACGCAGCGAAAUGCGAUAAGUAAUGUGAAUUGCAGAAUUCCGUGAAUCAUCGAAUCUUUGAACGCACAUUGCGCCCCCUGGCAUUCCGGGGGGCAUGCCUGUUCGAGCGUCAUUUCAACCCCUCAAGCCCGGCUUGUGUGAUGGACGACCGUCCCCCCCCCAAUAACCACCCACCGCUUAGGGGGGUGGGAGGGAGGGGGACGCGCCCGAAAAGCAGUGGUCAGGCCGCGAUUCCGGCUCCUGGGCGAAUGGGACAUACCACCGCCUCUAGGACCGGCCGGUAGGCUGGCCUAACGCACCAUGUAUUAUUCAGGUUGACCUCGGAUCAGGUAGGGAUACCCGCUGAACUUAAGCAUAUCAAUAAGCGGAGGAA
rnacentral:misc_RNA from 1 species